CACCCCAUUGAUUUCCAGGGUUGAUAUGGCUCAUCUGGAUGGCUGG
rnacentral:sRNA from 1 species